AUCGGGAGCAUAUUUUUGAAUGUGUCUAAAAUUAGCGAAAAUCGGCAUAUCAAAUAUUAACUUCAGCGUUUGUUUGCUUGAUGACAUAUCAGGCUAACUUGUAUUUCAGCGAAUUGUCGUUAGGGUUUGUAAAGGAUAUGGCAUAGAUUUAGACAUCUUAGCUACAUGUAAGUCUUAGCUCAUUGUUUCCUGAAAUAUGAACGUACGAAAUUAUGCAAGUAUUUAAUAGGUCUUUACAAACUUAUAAGGUACAUGAAAGACCACGCAAGGCAGGCGCUUAAAUUUUAAAAUUUCUUAAAUAGCCUAAUUUUUUUAUGUUUUUCAUGGAUUCAAAACAGAGUUGUUUAUUUCUCGGUUAGAGCAGGAUGAAUAUUAUUCUGCAAUGAAGGAAAUAAUAUUGCUUUUUGCAAAUACACAUCACAGUAUCAACGCUACUAUUUUGUUACAUUUGUUCCAAAAAUGUUGGAUGUCUCUCAGGGAGUUGUAUGCUUGUUAUGUCUUAACGAGUUGUAUGGUUUGAUUGUGUUUCAUUCUCAUUUAUUCUGAACUUAAAAAGAUUAAGAAAAGGCAAAAGAGUUUGAGUGGUCUUAACAAGAUUUCACAACGUUGCAAAAGUUAGAAGAGCUUCACAAUUCGAUUGUGACAGCAUGCCCUAAUUCAGAACUAUACGAACGAUCCAUGACAAUCCUUCGCGAUGCAGUGUUCUCUUGAAAUAAGGAAACGUAUUCAUGCUAGGAACACACGCGGAUUUCGGACGAAUAAAUCUUGCUUGUAUUUUGUAGAUAAUAAUUUGUUUCAUAAUAAACAAUUUGUCAAGUGUCAUUUAUUUACUGGUAAUCGUGCAUGUUUCAGUCGGGCAAUUCUCGAUUAAUAUU